UGAAAUAUUUCUUUAUAGAAAGGAUUUCUAAUUUCCUAGAAAUAUUUGAAGAAGCAUCACAAUCAGCGACAACACUUCAACUUUACUCAUCUUGUGUGACGUCGUUCAUAAAUGGUGCACAUUAAUAAGGAAAGAAGAAGCUCUAUUUGUGUGAAUUUAGCACUAAGUCCAAGUUCAUUUAAUGGACUAAUGGACUAAAAUAAAAGAAAAGUGGAUUAACACAGAUGUUUGCUGUUCACCUUACGGCAGUUUUAAUAUAUUAUAGCCACUCAAUGGCUCUGAAUCUUGGUAGUUUCUGUUCAAAUUGAAGUGAAUAUUCUCUGUGAAAAGUAAUUAUUCUCUGCUAAUUUUGCUUGUCUUUUGUCUCCACAGCUGAUACCCUGACUUCAUGGAGGAGUUACUUCAUGGGUGAUCUGAACUACUGGGAGCAGGCUUGAUUGAACAGUCUGACUGCUGCAGGAAGGAAGGACCUCCUUCAAACAUCGUGGGUGAAGCAGUCUGUCCCUGAAGGAGCUGCCGGUGAUGGUCCUGUUUCCUGCAGGGGGUGGGAGAUGUCCUCCAUGAUAGACAACAGCUUUGUCAUCAUCCUCCUGUCUACCACCAGCCCAGGACAGAGCUUGCUUUCUUAACCAGUUUCUUUAGUCUCUUCCUGUCUGCAGCCGUGAUGCUGCUGCUCCAGCAGACCAGUCCAUACAGGAUGGCUGAUACCACCACACAACCAUAAAAGGUCCUCAGAAUUGCUCCCUGCACCCCGAAGGACCUCAGUUUCCUGAGCAGUCGGAGUGUAAAGAAUUGAAGCUGUCAGAGGCUUUGUGUGGUGAAGAGGCUGCAGGACAUCAGCUGCUCCAACAGGUGACGCGUUUGUUCUUUGGCUCCAACCAGAAGCAGCAAUAAAUCAGCAUGAGCUGCAGCUUAUCCACCUCAUAGAGUGUAUAAUAAAGAAACCAAGAGGUUUUAGUUGAUAGCUGUCUCUAGUGAAUGACCAGCAGUGUCUUGUUCAGGUUGUGAGGAGAAGUAAAAAGCUUACAGCACCUGGUAUUCCCAAGUAGUCUCCCAUCCAAAUACUAACCAGACCCAACCCUGCUUAGCUUCGGAGAUCAGACGAGAUCAGGUGUAUU